AUAUGAGGUCUGGCCUGCCCACUGAAUAAAAUUUAAAGGGCCGCGGUAUAUUAACCGUGCGAAGGUAGCAUAGUCAAUAGUCUCUUAAUUGGAGGCUUGAAUGAACGGUCGGACAUGAAGAGAGCUGUCUUAGCUUAGGAGAGUGAGUUUAACUUUUGUGUGAAAAGGCAUUAAUGAGUCAGGGGGACGAUAAGACCCUAUAAAACUUAAUAUUUUAUCAUUGAGUAUUUGAUGUGGGAGUAAAGAAGGCGUAGUGAUGUGUAUUGUGCUGGGGCGGCAAAAAUAAAAUUUGUAACUGUUUAGAUAUUGAAAUAGUGAUAAUUAGAUUUUGACCCUGAAUUUCGGGUUAAAAGAUUAAGUUACUUUAGGGAUAACAGCGUUAUUUCUCUUGAGAGUUCAUAUCGACAGAGAUAUUUGCGACCUCGAUGUUGAAUUAAAGCUUUUUCCGGGAGUAGAAAUUCGGGUGAAUAGGUCUGUUCGACCUUUAAAGUUUUACAUGAUUUGAGUUCAAACCGGUGUGAGCCAGGUUG
rnacentral:rRNA from 1 species